GAAAGAACCCGGACCGCUCCAUUUGGGUAUCGACCCACUCUUCUUGCUGUGAGGCGACAGUGCUACCCACUUAGCCACCGUGCCGCCCUUUUAAACAGCGCUCCCGGAGGAAACCCUCGCAGACACGGGGAGAACAUGCAAACUCCACACAGAAAGGACCUGGACUGCCCCACCUGGGGAUCGAACCCGGGACCUUCUUGCUUGUCAUGGCUGGAGUGGUGCCACCUGAAAACACUGGGUGCAUAACAGGAAUAUGUAAUCAACGAAGGUGCUACUGCAAUUCGGGGUAUCACACACUUACACACUCGUUUACACCUAGGAACAAUUA